GUGGGGAAUAUUGGACAAUGGGCGAAAGCCUGAUCCAGCCAUGCCGCGUGUGUGAAGAAGGUCUUCGGAUUGUAAAGCACUUUAAGUUGGGAGGAAGGGCAGUAAGUUAAUACCUUGCUGUUUUGACGUUACCGACAGAAUAAGCACCGGCUAACUUCGUGCCAGCAGCCGCGGUAAUACGAAGGGUGCAAGCGUUAAUCGGAAUUACUGGGCGUAAAGCGCGCGUAGGUGGUUCAGCAAGUUGGAGGUGAAAUCCCCGGGCUCAACCUGGGAACUGCCUCCAAAACUAGUGGGCUAGAGUACGGUAGAGGGUAGUGGAAUUUCCUGUGUAGCGGUGAAAUGCGUAGAUAUAGGAAGGAACACCAGUGGCGAAGGCGACUACCUGGUCGAGUACUGACACUGAGACACGAAAGCAUGGGGAUCAAACAGGAUUAGAUACCCGGGUAGUCC
rnacentral:rRNA from 1 species